UACACAGCCAUAGAGCACACUGCAUCUCCAGCCAGAAAAAGACGGAGCAUUUAUUGCUUCCUGAGUGUUUUCCACCAUAAAAGUUGCAUUCUACCACAUCUUUCAAUGUCCUAUGUCAUUCACUCAUUUACUUCCCACAGUCUAAAAUCCUUCUGUCUACGGCUCUCUAUUACCACAGCGCAUCGACUUAGAUGACCCCAUCCCUCCAGCCAACUUCACCUGUCGCUCCCCAUCUCAUCAAGGAGAUUUCCAGGUGUAAUUUUCCAAUGAAGUGUGCCUACAUAACCAAGACCAUAGAAACGCAUGCUGCCAACCACAAUGAAAACUUUGGAAAAUGUCCCCGGAGAGUACUUGUAGGUUUGAGGAAAAUCGCCUGUGCCUGUUUUCAGCGCAAAUUCCAAUUUUUGCUUGAGGCUGCCUUGCUUGUUGAGACUGGUAUUGCUGCUUGUAUAUUGGGAAGCAUCUACUUGGUCCUUGUUCAGUGGACCAGUUAUUCAGAGGGGAUAUUGUUUUUGUUGCGGGACAAGUGGUCAGUGAUAUGUGGGGUGGGGAAAAAAUAUGUAUUACAUAUGAGUGUGACAGCAAAAGUUAUUGGGUGCAAUCAGACACAUUUUGUCAAUAGCUGUACACCUAUGCAACUUUGGGCGUGUCCAUAAGUGUGCAUCUGGUAGCAGUGUGCGGUGUGAUCUUACAUUGUGAUUGAUUUUAAUAACUGCUUUGUGAUAUACAACCUGGAUUAGGUGCCAUCAAAGUUCAUUGUAAAUAAUGUUCGUGGCCUCUCUAUUUCUCAGUUAAUAAUCAGUCAUUUGUGCCUGCACAGACAGUUGAAUAUUAACUGUAGUGUUUCUUUUCAUCUGCUUUUUGUGUGUAGUAUCUUUCACAGGUGUGUGAAGAAUCAACCCCGAGAGAUUGCCUACUGACAUGGACGCUAUCAAAACAAUAAAUAAUACU